UACGGAGGGAGCUAGCGUUGUUCGGAAUUACUGGGCGUAAAGGGCGCGUAGGCGGGAUGGCAAGUCGGUCGUGAAAUCCCUCGGCUCAACUGAGGAUCGUCGAUCGAUACUGCCGUUCUUGAGGAUUGCAGAGGAGACUGGAAUUCCCGGUGUAGCGGUGAAAUGUGUAGAGAUCGGGAGGAACACCGGUGGCGAAGGCGGGUCUCUGGGCAAUUCCUGACGCUGAGGCGCGAAAGCGUGGGGAGCAAACGGG
rnacentral:rRNA from 1 species